rnacentral:piRNA from 1 species
UGGUUGGUGGGGAAACCUCGUCACGGGUCCC